rnacentral:tRNA from 1 species
GUGAACAUAGCUCAGUUGAUAAGAGUGCUUGCCUAGCAUGCAGGAGGCCCUGGGUUCACACCCCGGCACU